AUAAGAUGCUUUCCUCAGCAGAAAGGAGGGAAAAAAAACAACUGGAACUCAAAGCUUGAAAUUCUGUGGCAAAACAUGAGAUGUCCAGGAUUGGAGGUUGAAAAGAUUUCACUACAGUGUUCUGCAAUAGUUGGAGCAGAUAACUUCCAGUGUAGCCACAGCCAUGGACUCCAGAUUUCCAGAUUUUCAAGAACUGGACCUGGAACCCGAAAGAGCUUGUCAGGAUGCGGCAGGAACACUGGAGGUAGAUUUUUUUUUAUUUUUGAAUUUGGGGACUGUUGACCUUGCUGUGAGAAAAGAGACAACGACUGAGCAAGCACUACCACCAGCACUGUUACUGGGAAUUAGAAGACCUGAGUUUCUGUCCAGACCCUCAGUGCAAACUGAGGAUGCUCCAUCCAAAGUGAAUUAUGAUAGCAGACUCCUUGAAAGCAGGGUCCUUGUUUAGUGCAUCUUUGCCCACAUACACCACAACAUAUCAAGAUGCAUUUAUUAGGAAGGAGGAGUUUAGAGAGCAGGCUAUCAGAAUAACCACUCACCUACAGACCUGGUACCUGGAUUUUUGCCCGAGAUGAUUCCUACCACCUUACUACUGAAGAAGACACCCAUUCCAGUGGACCACUGUGACCCAGGAGGCAUUCAGCCAUCAUGAUGUGGCCUUUACCUCCACUCCUGUCUUGUUCUACCCAGAUUCAGCACAGCCCUUUAUAGUGAAGUCAGAGUCCUCAAGCCAAAUAGCUAAAGCUGUUUUAUCACAACAAAGGCCUAGUUUGUUCCAUGAGUGUGCAUUUCAUUUCUUCAGUUAAAGCCUUCAGAGACACACAAUAAAUUUGGACCAGGGGAUUUUUUAGUUAUUAAUGCUCUCUGAAGAAAGGCAACAUCUUUUUGAGAGCAGCAUUGGACCACACCCCACAAUCUCAAAUGAUUGAAAUUCAUGAACAUCUAGGAUCCCGUGAAGGUCACUGGACCCUGUUUUUUCUACUUCAAAUCCUGUAGUAGCCUACUGAAUGAGAAAACAUAUUCUGACCCAUUGGGAUCAAAUCAAAGGCACAGUGAACUCCUCAUAGCAUCUUCUUUGGAAUUACUCAGGAACCAGAACUUUUUACACAAAUGUAAGAAAUUCUACCAAGGAGUCCCCUUACCUAACAGCAUCUCACAAGGCUGCACCAGAUUCCAGAAGAGGCUUCUCUUGAUACAUCAAGGUAGAACCUCUAUGCAUUUUGUGACCGACUUAUUCUUAGAUCAUUGGUUUUCCAAAGGCUUUGUGGCCAUGAAGCCCUUUGAGUGAAAACUGUGCAGAAGCCCAGAGUAAAAGUGAAGCUGCUCUGGAUGAAGUAGUGAAGCAAGAGUAGGGGCCUGAAUCCUGCUACAACUAUCUUCCUUUACCACCGUGGUGACACCUAAGGGGACUUCCUUACAACACCUUGAACUCUUCCGAACACAGUUUGAAAACCACUGCCCCAGACAGCAAUAUGUUUGACCUGAAUGGCAUUCCAAUCUUUUCUGUACCUCCACUCAGCACAGUUCAUGUUCAGUAGAUGCUGAACAUUCUUAGAAAUACUGUGUGUGAACUUAGAAAAGUGCAAGAAGACAGGCAUGUCUUUGACCCCAGAAAUGAUCAUGGGCUGAAGAUGGUGUCAAGUGAACCUAGAUUAACAGCCCUCCACUCCAGAUGGAUAUCCAGUGAUUCCUAGAAUGGGAUAUAGCCAGAGAACAAUUCUAUGCACCCUACACUGACAGACUCCCUUAAGCAACACCAGAUGCUCUACUGGUACUUGAAGUACAUGACUUUGAAGUCUUGACCCUCCAUGAAUACCUGAAUUAUCAGCAAGCGGGUUUUGAAGCUGGUGCCUCAUUGAGGCCAUAUUAGAGCAACUUGUACAUUUGACCUCUUGUUAUCAGCCAUGGUACUCUACUUCGUGUGCAAGAGAUAACUAUGAAAGCCAAAUUCAAAUACUGGCAACAUUUCCUAAAGGGGCUCAAUAUCUAUCAUUCAUCUUCUUUUCCAAACUACACAUCACUGUAUGACUCAACCAGUAGCAGUUAUAUUGCCCCUUGGUUUUUAUUCAGUUUAACUACUGUUUCCAAGAUAAAUGAGCUAAUAAGCUUU
rnacentral:antisense_RNA from 1 species